AUUGAACGCUGGCGGCAUGCUUUACACAUGCAAGUCGAACGGUAACAGGCCGCAAGGUGCUGACGAGUGGCGAACGGGUGAGUAAUGCAUCGGAACGUGCCCAGUCGUGGGGGAUAACUACUCGAAAGAGUAGCUAAUACCGCAUACGAUCUAUGGAUGAAAGCGGGGGACCGUAAGGCCUCGCGCGAUUGGAGCGGCCGAUGUCAGAUUAGGUAGUUGGUGGGGUAAAGGCUCACCAAGCCAACGAUCUGUAGCUGGUCUGAGAGGACAACCAGCCACACUGGGACUGAGACACGGCCCAGACUCCUACGGGAGGCAGCAGUGGGGAAUUUUGGACAAUGGGCGCAAGCCUCAUCCAGCAAUGCCGCGUGCAGGAAGAAGGCCUUCGGGUUGUAAACUGCUUUUGUACGGAACGAAACGGCUCUGGUUAAUACCCGGGGCUAAUGACGGUACCGUAAGAAUAAGCACCGGCUAACUACGUG
rnacentral:rRNA from 1 species